UACGUAGGGUGCGAGCGUUAAUCGGAAUUACUGGGCGUAAAGAGUGCGCAGGCGGCCGCGCAAGUCGAGUGUGAAAGCCCCGAGCUUAACUUGGGAAUUGCGCUCGAAACUACGUGGCUGGAGUGUGGCAGAGGAAGGUGGAAUUCCAGGUGUAGCGGUGAAAUGCGUAGAGAUCUGGAGGAACACCGAUGGCGAAGGCAGCCUUCUGGGCCAACACUGACGCUCAUGCACGAAAGCGUGGGGAGCAAACAGG
rnacentral:rRNA from 1 species